AUUGAACGCUGGCGGCAGGCCUAACACAUGCAAGUCGAGCGGAUGAAGGGAGCUUGCUCCUGGAUUCAGCGGCGGACGGGUGAGUAAUGCCUAGGAAUCUGCCUGGUAGUGGGGGAUAACGUCCGGAAACGGGCGCUAAUACCGCAUAAGUCCUGAGGGAGAAAGUGGGGGAUCUUCGGACCUCACGCUAUCAGAUGAGCCUAGGUCGGAUUAGCUAGUUGGUGGGGUAAAGGCCUACCAAGGCGACGAUCCGUAACUGGUCUGAGAGGAUGAUCAGUCACACUGGAACUGAGACACGGUCCAGACUCCUACGGGAGGCAGCAGUGGGGAAUAUUGGACAAAGGGCGAAAGCCUGAUCCAGCCAUGCCGCGUGUGUGAAGAAGGUCUUCGGAUUGUAAAGCACUUUAAGUUGGGAGGAAGGGCAGUAAGUUAAUACCUUGCUGUUUUGACGUUACCAACAGAAUAAGCACCGGCUAACUUCGUG
rnacentral:rRNA from 1 species